CUCCUCCAGUGGUGGUUCAUCAUCAGCUCCUCUGCAAAUUGCAAUGUAUCUUAACAGAGCUCUCAAGGCAUUGUUAGGUGAGAGACCAGCACAGUCGCUUGUCAUAUUGAAGAAGACGACUCCUCACUCUCUCAAUCUCUGCCGUUUUCACUUCGCAUCAACUUCAAUCCCUUUCCGUAGUGCAGAUUUUACAGGGAGGGUUGAUAAAAUGGAUAAGGACAAUGACAAGCGCAGCACCCGUAUUCUUUUUUGUGGACCUCAUUUUCCUGCUUCGCAAAAUUAUACAAGAGAAUAUUUACGAAAGCAUCCAUUUAUCCAGGUUGAUGAUGUUCCACUGGAUGCUGUGCCUGAUGUUAUUGGCAAUUAUGAUAUUUGUAUAGUGAAAAAUAUGCGACUUAAUUCAGAUCUUAUUUCUCGUGCAAACAAGAUGAAGCUUAUUAUGCAGUAUGGUGUUGGGCUAGAAGGUGUCGAUAUCAGUGCUGCUACAAAGCAUGGAAUCAAGGUUGCUAGAAUUCCAGGCAGUGAUUCUGGAAAUGCAGCUUCAUGUGCCGAAAUGGCCAUAUAUCUAAUGCUGGGCCUUCUCCGUAAGCAAAAUGAGAUGAACAUUGCUGUAAAGCAGAGAAAGCUUGGAGAACCAAUUGGUGAAACGCUGCUUGGAAAAACAGUAUUCAUUAUGGGAUUUGGAAAUAUUGGUCUCCAUUUGGCAGAGCGUUUGCGUCCAUUCGGUGUGAAAAUUCUUGCUACUAAACGGACUUGGGUCUCAUAUUUGGAGAACUUGUGCAAAUCCGAUGCAUUGCCCAUUCGAAACGGUAUCAAUGAUGAUCUGGUCGAUGAGAAGGGUGGUCACGAAGAUAUAUAUAAUUUUGCAAGCAACGCCGACAUAGUUGUCUGUUGCUUGUUAAUGAAUAGCGAAACGGCUGGCAUAGUAAACAAGACAUUCAUAUCUUCAAUGAAACAGGGUGCCCUUUUGGUUAAUAUAGCUCGAGGGGGUCUCUUGGACUAUGAGGCUGUUCAUUAUCACCUUAAAUCAGGCCACUUGGGCGGCUUAGGUAUUGAUGUUGCUUGGACAGAGCCAUUUGAUCCCGAGGAUCCAAUUUUGAAGCUCCCAAAUGUCUUAAUCACACCCCAUGUUGCAGGGGUUACAGAAUGUGCUUAUAGAUCCAUGGCUAAGAUUGUUGGGGAUGUCGCCCUUCAACUUCAUGCAGGGACUCCUUUGAUGGGGAUAGAGUUUGUCAACUGAUUCACCUCGCAACACUGGUUUGCUCAAAAGCGUAAAUUUCUUCCUGCUUUCAGCCUUAGCAGUGGGCAUGCAAUUUAUUUUACGACACACGCGUCAGUAUCCCGAAUCAGGAUCUCUAAGAUGAAGCCGAUAACUAUGUCCUAAAUUUUUCCAAGGCAAACAUGACUGUUCAUGAUGCUUCGAACACGGAGUUCUUUUUCAGAAAGAAAACUGAUGGUGAAAAUGUGUUCAGUGUGCAUGUUACGAAGACCAUAGAAAAGAAAAAGAGAAGGUGCUGGGAGAUAGAUGAGUUUUGGGGGGAUUUUUUUGUUUUUUUUCAUGAAUAGGAUUUGAUGGUAGUGAUCAUAUUUCUUUCUUUAAUAAACUCUCCCCCUUGCUUGAGCACUUUAGGUAUAAGGCUAUUGAAAAUGAAAGUACUGACUGAUAACAUGUAGUAAUGUGUGGCAUGUUAAUCCAUUUGCAAAAA